AUUCAGUUAAAAAAUGUUAAUUGUCAAUAAAUGAAGCGAGGAUUUUCUUAUCUUUGGUGCCGUUUCAUGAGCUGUCAUGCAAAAUUCUCAAGAAUAACGGUUACUUCUGUUGUUUACGAUGUCAAGUCAGUCAAGUUUUUCAGUUUUUGACGGAAAUUCGGAAGAAAAUUCAUCCCAAUCGUUGUUUGAGGAUCAAAUCCGGAACAUGACGUCGUGUCAGUGGUGCUCUUAUCGUUCCAAGGGAGCAAAACGUUCGUUAUUUGUGCCUUCAAGUGAUGGUUUUUGUAGUUUUUGUUCACGUUCCGAAGGUGAAAAAUCUGAUGAAAAAUUGACUUCCGAGCAGAUUUCAAGGGCCAACCAACAAUCCAUUAAGGUCUCCCAAGGAACUCAGACCAGUUUUAUUGAAUCUCCAGUCCAACAAAAGCUUCAAAACUCUAAAAGAAGAGCUCAUGACUCUGGAUUUUCCGAUUCGUUUCUCGAUGCCACCGAUGACGAUGUUCUCCCCUCAACUUCAGUAAAAAAGUUGAAACUCCUUUUUGAGCCCCCAAAAUUUCAGUUUUCAAUGCCACUCCGCAUCACCCAGUCACUUCCCGAACUGCAAAAAGCCUCAUCUGUGCAAAAAAUUAA